AUGCACUUUGAUGCUAAGGCUUUUGGGUUGCAUAAAUGCAUUAUUAUUAUCAUUAUUAUUGUUAUUAUUAUUAUGUUUUGGUUUCUACCAUUGCUCAUAUCCUGGAGUAAUCAGUUCCAAAGGCUCAGUGUUUUCAGUGCAAAACCAUCUUUAACUCAUUUGGAACAUGUCAUCUUCUUUGGGCUUAUUUCCCUUCAAGCCAAGUAAACAGCUAUCCCUGUUCUAUACUUUUAAUUUUUGACACAAAAUACUCUCUUUCAUUAAUCAUCUCUCGUGCAAAAAUCAAGUUGGGGAAAGUUUAUUUUCUUCUCUUUGCAUCAGUCCUUCUCUUCUUUCUAAACAUUGGGAGCAUUCAACUAUAGUAAAUAGAAUUUACUUCCAAAUAUGUGUGCCUAAAACACUGCCUGAUUCUCUCUCUCCCUUUUUCUCCCCAAGCCAUUUUUUGGUGUUAAUUAUGUUUUUCAUGUGAAUCCAAUAAUCUUCUUGGCAUGACUUGCCAUUGGGGUGGGUCUACACAUUAAAGGAUCCACACAUCUUGCCAAGACGGGCAAUAUUUAUAGAAAGCAUGAUUACAAUUCCUGCAUGUUGGGACAGUACCCUGAUUUGGGCUGUUUGAGAUGUGAGAUGCGCUGAUGGGCAUCUCUCUUUCUCUCAUGCUCACAACUCAGCAUGAAGUUUCACCCAGGAACAGGGCACGAAAACUAUUGUUCUUGUGUUUCCAGAUGAGCACACAGGACAGAAGAAACCCGGUCCCUCGUGUCCUACUUGGCACAACCAGGCAUGUCGGCUGCUGAUCAAUGAUUGAUUGAUAGGAGCAGAGGCAGGCACCAACCAGCUGGAUGAAUCACCAUGAUGAAGGGUGUGCUUCUUUCCUUUCUCUCCCACAUGCCAUUCAAAAGCUGCUGAAGAAGAAUGGCAAUUUUGAGUCUCUUUGGAAAAGAGUUUACAUCUUCUAAGCUACCCCCUCCCCCUGCUCCACACCCCCAUUCGUCUGCAGCCAUGAGGCAUUCCCAUGAUAACCAUCUGGCAGACUGAAGCGC
rnacentral:lncRNA from 1 species